GUAAUUUAUCUAAAAUAUCACCUAUGUCAAAUUUGUGUCAAACUUAUUUAUUGUAAAAUAGAAUUUCUUAUCUACUUUAAAAAUGUGAAAAUAUAUAAAAGUAUAAUCACACAAUUAUAUUAUUACGUUUGGACAGUAUAUUAUGCUUCCUUAUUGUAAUUAAUUAAAAUCAAAAUAUCAAAUUAUUAUUUUAUCUUUCCUGGUUUAUUUGAGGGAAGGGGGACUGGGAUAUUAAAGAAAUAUCUCUCCACUAGACCAUUUUUUUUUUCGAAAUCUAUUAUUAUUAUAAUAAUAUAGUAUUUUUUUAAAUUCAAAUUUUUUACUUUGAAUUCUGAAAAAUCAAAAAUAGAUUACAUCUUACUAAUAAUAAUAAAUUAUGUACCUAUAAGACCUGAAUUAAUACAUUUUCUUGUUUAAAUGGUUUACUAAUAUCUAAAGUUAUUUGAUUUUAAUGAUAAUUUUAAGUAUGUAAAUUACUUAAACAAAUUGAUAUAUUUUUUAUAGCCCAGGUACAUGUUAUUCACAAUUUAAUUUAUUUAGCUAUUAAAUCAAAAAUAAAAACAUAUCUUACAUACACAUACAAUAGUAUAAUAUGUAAAAAUAGGUAGGCAAUAAAAUAAUAAAUCUACUUAUGAACAAAGCCU